rnacentral:rRNA from 1 species
GUAAGGAAUAUUGCGCAAUGGACGAAAGUCUGACGCAGCGACGCCGCGUGGAUGAUGAAGCUUUUCGGAGUGUAAAAUCCUUUCAGCAGGGAAGAACCGCGAGGGUAGUAACUGACCUUCGCCUGACGGUACCUGCAGAAGAAGUCCCGGCUAACUCCGUGCCAGCAGCCGCGGUAAUACGGGGGGGACGAGCGUUGUUCGGAUUCACUGGGCGUAAAGGGCGUGUAGGCGGACCUUUAAGUCGGGCGUGAAAUCUCGGGGCUUAACCCCGAGCCUGCGUCCGAUACUAUUGGUCUUGAGUAUGUGAGAGGAAAGUGGAAUUCCAGGUGUAGCGGUGGAAUGCGUAGAUAUCUGGAAGAACACCGGUAGCGAAGGCGGCUUUCUGGCACAAUACUGACGCUGAGGCGCGAAGGCCGGGGGAGCAAACAGG